rnacentral:rRNA from 1 species
AAAUGAAUAGACGGGGGCCCGCACAAGCGGUGGAGCAUGUGGUUCAAUUCGAUGCAACGCGAAGAACCUUACCUGGGCUUGACAUUCUGCUGACUGCUGUAGAGAUACGGUUUUCCCGCAAGGGACAGUAGAACAGGUGCUGCAUGGCUGUCGUCAGCUCGUGUCGUGAGAUGUUGGCUUAAGUGCCGCAACGAGCGCAACCCAUGUCCAUAGUUGCCAACAGGUAAUGCUGGGAACUCUAUGGAGACCGCCGGUGAUAAACCGGAGGAAGGUGUGGAUGACGUCAAGUCCUCAUGGCCUUUAUGUCCAGGGCUACACACGUGCUACAAUGGUCGGUACAGCGGGAAGCUAACUCGCGAGAGCAAGCAAAUCCCUUAAAGCCGACCUCAGUUCGGAUUGUAGUCUGCAACUCGACUACAUGAAGUUGGAAUCGCUAGUAAUCGCGGAUCAGCUAUGCCGCGGUGAAUACGUUCUCGGGCCUUGUACACACCGCCCGU